AACGAACGCUGGCGGCAUGCCUAACACAUGCAAGUCGAGCGAGACCUUCGGGUCUAGUGGCGCACGGGUGCGUAACGCGUGGGAACCUGCCCUUAGGUUCGGAAUAACUCCCCGAAAGGGGUGCUAAUACCGGAUAAUGUCUUCGGACCAAAGAUUUAUCGCCUUUGGAUGGGCCCGCGUUGGAUUAGCUAGUUGGUAGGGUAAAAGCCUACCAAGGCGACGAUCCAUAGCUGGUCUGAGAGGAUGAUCAGCCACACUGGGACUGAGACACGGCCCAGACUCCUACGGGAGGCAGCAGUGGGGAAUAUUGGACAAUGGGCGAAAGCCUGAUCCAGCAAUGCCGCGUGAGUGAUGAAGGCCUUAGGGUUGUAAAGCUCUUUUACCCGGGAUGAUAAUGACAGUUCCGGGAGAAUAAGCUCCGGCUAACUCCGUG
rnacentral:rRNA from 1 species